rnacentral:lncRNA from 1 species
CCAGAACAUGAAGUUCAAAAGGAUAAUGGAAUUUAUGGGGAAUAAACUAGAUGAAGAUCCUGUCAAAAGAAUUGUUCAGCACACAUCUUUUGAAAGGACCGUUGGAGAGUGGAAGGAUUACUUCUCAGCAGCACAGAAUAAGAGAUUUGAUGAAGACUAGGGAGGAAAAUGGCUGACUCUUCUCUGACCUUCCACACGGAGCUCUAAAGAGAGAGAGACAAAGUCUAUACUACACAGGGGCACUUUUAUUACCUUGUCUUCCAGUUUUUAUUCCCCUUGUCACUGCUUUUCCCUAGAAAUGACUUCCUGAGCUUGCUCAAAUUGUUCAGGCAAGAACUGU